CAUCCGUGCUGGUGGCACAGGACGCUGCACACGCUCCCAGCACGCCCGCCCGCAUGGAGUACGGUAGGUCACUGGCGCCGCCCUGCUGGCCGAAUGAAGACGUACGUGCUAUCAUGCUAUGAUUCGUGUACGUAGAGAGCUCUUGACUGCCUGCUCACCCAGGGCGCGGGAUCAGGAGCGCCUAGCCCGCCCCUUCGCCAUUCUCGAGCUGCUAUCGCCCCGUUCCAAAGCCUCCAUCCCUUGCCUUCACCUGACUGUUGCGCCGCGUCUCGGGCCGUGCGAGUGUGCGACGCGGCCAGUGGACGGAGCUCCCCUGGUGGGCGUGGAGGCUGGCGCCGGUGGGUACGUACCAGUGUCUCACACCUGUUCGCCCGGGCCCAGCAGGCGGCGAAAGACGUUGAAGGGCUAGUGGGCUAUCUACCCGCCCAGUAUGACGUCUAGAUGCCUUGGCGCGCCAGCUUUCCUACCCUCUAGGUGGCGGGCGGAAGCCAUUCCAAGAAAACAAUGAAGACGCCGCAGGACAUGACAAGCCAGAUAAGAAACGCGGGGGUGGGGCACUCAUGAUUCCUGGAUGGAGGGCACGGCCCACGGGGCAUCGGCAUUUCAGAUUUUGGCAUACGUGUCAGAUGCAACCCUACGGGUCCGGCGCAGCAUAACGUGAUAUCAACAAUCCUGCAGUCCCACAAGGCAAUCAUAGUGGUGGGGCCGCCGUGAGCGUGCGUAGGGAGGGAGGUACCGAGGCACGCUGCGGGGACGGUGACUUGCUGAAGGGCCGGCCGCCACAAGGGGUCUGUUUUAUGGGGUGCAUUCUGCAUGUUCGGGUUGGCUUUCUGACUGCGAUACCAGGGGGGGGGGUAGAAAGCUCAGGUUCUUACCCCAUGCUCAAAAUUACAGAGCUUUAGGAGAGCAUUAUGCACGUACUUUUAGUUUUUAAAGUUCUGGGCCGCCAAAGUUGGGGGGUCGGUCCUCGUCCCUGGGGGUCCGUCUGUCGCUGCUCUGCGCGGGCCGGCCACGUCCUGCUGGGCGGACACCUUUUGCAGCGCGAUGAGUUUGGGGCCCGACUACACCGGAGCUUCUCCCAGCGGCAGUCGUAUGACGACGCCUGCGGCUGUUACGUUCGUCGCAAGGGGGAUGCGCUUGAACACAGAUGUUGCUGGUAAUGUCCGACGUUGAUGUCAGGUAUUGCACCAAAGUAAACCAGGCCUUGAUAAAUCCACUGGGUCGUCGUUGGCGGUCAGGAUAUAGUUGUAGGCUUGGGCGCCGAGCCAGGAGGGCUGGGGUCGCGCAAUGCCUGAGAGAGAAUGUGCCGGGGCGGACUGCGGGCAAUGACACGAGCGUGUCAAGCCGAACACAAGUCCAAGCAACGGUACUCUUUGGGCGCUGUCUCACUCAGCUGCCUUCUCCCUUAAUAUGAACACAAACUGGCUGCUGUAGGCCAAGCGUCGGGCUGGCGAUGCAACCGAGAUGGAACCGGAAUCUCAAUAGGCAGUCCGUUGUUCCCAAACAGAGCUCAGAUGUGAGCUGGAGGUCUUGUUGGAGGUCUUGAAUAGCUCAGGGUCUUGACCCAGUGGACUCGGUGACGAUUCGAUGCUCGCAAGCCGGUCUUCACGUUGGGGUCGUCAGGAGAAUCUCAGAGUAGUCUUAAAUAGAAGAUACACCAGAAGGAUAGCUGAAUCCAGAAAGAAGGUCAAAGCCUUGGCAGAGCUGUCGGCAGGUGGCGAUGACCUUGGCCAAGGGGCUCGCGAGGCUCGUUGACGUCGCUCAGGCGCUUGAAGCCGCCGAAUUACGCAGUUGAGAUGCGUAUGAUACCACAGGACCGCGUCGCAGGGGCAGACGGGUCACGAAGAGUCGCGCACGGGGUCGAUGCGACCAGGCGUGCGGAUGCGGAAGCCGGGGCACAGGGGCCCGCUGAAACGGAGGCUCGGGCUGAAGGCCGAUGCCUCAAUCACUGUCGCGCCUUGGCGCUGGAAACUUGCGGACAGGCUCGCUGUCAGGGGAGAAGAGCCCUUGAGGGCUGGGAGACUGUUCUUCCGGUAUGAGCAAGGUUCGUGCUUGUCAAUUACUCGUGGCGUAUUACACAGGAGUGCCGGGUUCCUUUCUUGGCGCUCCGGAGCGGUCCUAUAUUGCCCCGGGCACCUUCCACCAUCGCGAUUGGCGCAGGGGAGCUAGGCCUGGAAGGUGCAGGGGCCAGCUUCCACUCAGGCUUUGCCCUCAUGCAGCGUCCCCAUGCAGCGCCUGGACUACCCCCUGCUUGCGUCGCUAUUUGGAAAUGCGCACCGUAGCUCAAACAACGCCCCAGGGCCACCAGGGGCACGGGGCAAGCUAGGGAAGAGUGUGAGCAUCAAUGCCCAGUCUCCAUCCCUCAACCCGCCCUGUUCUCUAGUCGUCCCUCAAAGUCUAGGCCUGCAAACGCUAUCGCCGCCUAGAAAAGUCACACAAAAGCAAGCGCGCUAGGCUCCCGGACUACGGGCAUGGGCGGCGGCCCAAAGACCGUCGCCGCGGCCAGGGUAGCCGGAGGGCCGAACCGCAUAGAAUGGCUCCGCGUCAACGAGCGCCCAUUGGGGAAACGCUCCUACCGCUUCAACCUAAUCAAUUAUCGUAUUCACACGUCGCCGUAGGACUCGAGCAAUCAAGUCCCCUAUGCAGCGAGCUUCCGCAAAUCCAUGCCCGGACUGUCGUCGACAGACUGCAGCCCAUUCCUCGUUAUGCCAUAUUCUUAUGUACAGAUGUAUGUGCAAAUCACACUCGCGUAGCCCUGUGCCCUUCUGGCCGCGUACUGUCAGGGUCCAGGGCCUAGUUCUACCGAUGCCUACGUCUCCUCCUCGCCGCGUCUACAAACACUGCUCAGACCGGCCAAUACCAUCUCAGUGGUCUCCGUAAGACCAUAUUGUAUCGUGCCCACAUCUCGCCGAGCACUUGGUGGCAGUCCAUGUUCCUGCCCCUUCCGUCACACCAUCGUGUCACGGCCUUUCCUUAUGUCUCUCCCUCCCUUUCCGCCGUCUAGCCAGUUGCCCGAGGCUUACGUGUUAUUGCCUCAUGUAUUCGUUUUGAAAUGCACUCUCAGGUUCAACCGCCGGCACAUACCCUAGUCGUGACCGCGGUGCCUUAAUGCGUGCGUAGCCCCGCGUGCGGACUAAAGUGCCCACAGCGCGCUCGGGCGGACACGCAAUGCAAUAAGCGUCCGGACAGCGCUAUGCGUCGGCACACGCGAAGCAGCUACAGCUGUCGCUUGCCCUCGUGUAAGCCACGAGUCCCAGCGUGGCCCAAAUGCCGACGCUAACCGCUACGCACGCGCCUGCCCAGCUUGCCAUUUCCCAAAAAAAACAGGGGCUGUGCCCCGUACGUGGCCUGCAGGAUAACCAAUGACCAAGCUUCAAAGCCCUUCCUCAUUCAACUAAGCAAAUCCAUAUCAAGCCAGAUGCAGGUGCCAUGCCAGCCUUGAUGCCACCUGGCGCCACAGCGGCAGGGUUUGGCACCCUAUAAAUGCCAGACGCUUUCGCAACUGGGCCGCUCCAAAUGUUCAACCUGACUCAAAAUAACCCGUUUGAAGACACUCCAGUGCACCACAUUAUGGCUGCACUUGUUUAUAUUACAACACAGCCACACCUGUCAACCGGGUCAAACCUCUCAAUGCCCCCUCCCUGGGGACUACGUGUCCCGCUUCCUUGCGCAUCAUACCGUAUGGAGCCAUUCGCCUGCCCACUUCGCCUUCGCUUCUAGGCUGUGGCUUCGCCACCAUAACUUUAAAACCAAAUGCCCCAGACCCUGGGCUUGACAAUCAUACAUCUAGUCAUGUGGGGGCGGGGCCAAUGUGUGGACCUUUCCCACGCACUAACUCUCAUGGGUAUCCCCUAUGUCACCAAGCCUCUUGCCGUCAUACAAAAUUUCGCCCGAAGGCCACCGCUCCCGGCGCUGCCUGCCCUCGUGUAGCUGGCAGCUAGUCCGGGGGCUGUUGCUGAGACACGCGGCUGGGCGGCUUAUAUGAAGGGUUUUGCGGGGGGCGCUUGGCCGCCAGCCGCUUGCGAAGCUCCUUCAGGUUCCGCUGCACUGCCUGCUGCUUUAGUAAGUGAUAGUGAGGUAGGCGCCUGCUGCGUGCAGGCUGCCGUGGGCCGCGGCGUGUCACAGUGACCGCCGCCACCACCGCUCCCGUUGCUGCUGCCUUCACUGUUGUUGCCCCGGCCGCCAGCCCGCCACCACCGCUGCGGUGGUAAUCGCUGGUGCCACCGCUGCUGCCGCCGGACGCGGCGCCGGUAGGGCUGUUGUGACUGCCUGGCCCACAGGCUUGCUGCUGGCUCCCAAGCGCAGAUACUGGGUGCGACAAGGGUUCGUCCGGCUCAGAGCCGUCUAGCAUGAGCAACAGCCGGGUGUGGCUGUCACGGUGGCGCUGGCGCGGCUGCUGAUCGCGAGCUUCUGCCACCGUCGCUACCGGCAUCUGGUGCUGCACGUCUGACAGCCCAGGCCCGCCCACACUAGGCGUCAGCGUGCCUGUGGUGCCGCUGCCAGGGCUGGUUGACGCCACGUACACGUGCAUACCCAGCCGUGCGAGCAGGUCUGGCGGCUCAUCUUCGCCGCCGCCACGCGUGAUGGCGAUGGGUGUGGUGUGGCGGCCGCCCUCGUCAUCGUCAUACUCCAGGACGCCGCGGCUAUAGCUGAUAUCCGCGCGGAUAGGGCCCAGGAAGCUGUUGCCCAGUAGCACGUCAUAGUUUGCUGCGUCCAGCACGUACAUCUCCACCGUCCGUGUCAGCCCGGCCAGGCACACCACCACCUUGACUUUUCCCCUGGCGGGUUCCUCCGUGCCGUUGGCGUGGUAAAACUUAAUGCGGGUGGGGCGGAUGCUGUUCAAAAGGCCCAGCUCUGACAGGGCGUGCCGCGUGAUGACGCAGUUGGAGGCGCCGGUGUCAACGCACGUGCGUAGCCCCACCUCGCCGCCGUUGACGUCAUAGCACGCCGCCGAGACACGGCAUAUCUGGAACUGAGGCUGCUGCAGGCUGCAGCUGGGAGUGUCCUCCUCGGAGGUGCUGACGUGCUGCACCCCCGCUGGCUGGGCCUCUGCCAGCAGGCCUCCCUUGGCGCCGGAGCUGCUGCCGUACGCGCCGCCACUAGCACUGCGCGCCAGGCCCAAGCACUUGCCGCCCACCUUAGCAAGGAUGGCACGGCUGUCACAUUGCACUGAUUUGGCCAGAGAGAUAGAGUGGGCCGCGAUCUUGGCGAAGACGUCGUCUGCCACCUGGGUCUCUUCGGUACGCGCUACUGCUGGGUCUGUGCGCGCCGCCACUCUGGGUACUGCUGGCUUGGGGUCGGGUGGCGCGGCUCUCGUAGCCUGCACCACUGGCGGGGCCGCCACCGCCGCACGCGCCGGUGCGGCACGUGGCUCCUCCCGCACCGGCAGCGGCGCCAGCCCUGCUGCCCUCGUGUUGUUUGAAGCUCGGGGUCUGUCCGCGUCGGGCAGCGGCCUGGCCGCCGCCUCACGCACACCCCGUCCUACCGCUGCUGCCGCUGAGGCUGUGCCCGCCGGCGGUGCCCGCGGUAGGCUCGCCGCCGCCACACGGGGCGGUGGCUCAGCAGCCUUGACCGGCCGCUCAAUCAGCGGUCUGGUCCAACCGUCACCGCCCGUCUGGUAGGGGCGCGGUAACUUGGCCGCGGCUUCCUCCUGGAACCGUCCGCCAGCGGUGUAGUGCCGUGGCGGUCGCCGGUCCACCUCCAUACGUGUAUCCGGGCUGAGGGGCUCUCGGCUGCGGGGCAGCCGCUGGCCCAGGUCGAAGUCCCGGAUCCGCUUGAGCUCACUGGCCAGGAGCUCGCCCUCCGACACGUCGCUGUCGGAGUCAUACACGCUGCCACACUCCGAGCUGUUGUGGUCACGCCACAUCAUGUUCAGCUCGCGACGGUGCCGGUCUCGGCCUUGGUCACGCCGCCCGUCACUGCGGUCGCGCAUGUUCAGGCUCAGGCGCGCCAUCUGGGUGUGCAGCCGUGCCAGGUCGUGUGGGGUGGCGAGGUUGCGGCCGGAGCGCUCCGCGUCGCCACCAACACCAGCACUGCCGUUGGCACCACCGCCGCCGCCGCUGCCGCGGCGGCUGUGAUUGUCGUUGCCGCCUCCCUCUGAUCGGGAUGGGCGGCGUUCUUCAUCGCGAUGCAGGUCGCGAUAGCCGCGGCUCCACGAAGACCGCGGGCGCUCCACGGUGCGUGGCUCGUCCUCAAAGCGCACGCGGCGGUCGCCGGCGUCCUCGCUGCCGGUGGAGUCGCCAUCGUUCAGGCCGUCAUCCAGGAGCAGCGCCCGCCAGUCAUGCUUGCUGAUGAGCUCGAUGGCGUCCCGGAUAGUCUGCUGCAGUGAGCCAGUGGCGGGACGGAACAAGUCCAGAGCAACUGACGCUGACUUGCGCAGGCCGCGGACGUAGGCUCGCACGAUGGAGGGGUCGGUCAGCUGCUGGGCCCGCCUGGCGAGGGUAAGGAAACGGUUGGAGUACGCUGCGACGCCCUCACCGGGCUGCUGCGCACAAUCCAGCAGCUGCUCAGUCCAGUCCGAAGAUGAAAAGCCAAACUGUUCAAGGAAUGAUGUCUUGAAGUUGUCCCAUAGAAGUGGACCCAGCUGCAGAACCUUCCAUGCACGGUACCAGGUCUUGGCAGCGGACUCCAGCUUCUCUGACACCUUGUCCACGUAGUCACACGGGCGAUAGCCCAGGCGUGCCAUCUCCUCCUCAAUAUCCUCCAGCCACUCGUGUGGGUCUGCUGAGCCGUUGUAACUGGUGACCCCCUGCCAGCGGAAGAAAACCGCUAGCAUGUCCGUGGCCAUGCUGGGUGCCGCGGGUGCACUGGGCCGGGGGGGUGUAGUGCUGAGGGCUGGCCCCUGGCGGGGCCGGUUGGCAGCCGACUUGGUCGGAGUGCCACCGGGGUCUGGGGGACCCAAUACCAGAUCUGGAGAGGCGAAGGGGGUACCAGACGGCUGUAGAGUCAGGGUUGCCGUAGCUGUCACACACAACACCAACUGGUGCGUGUGAGUAGUUUAUGCCAGGUAGGCUGCAGAAGUAUAGACUUGUAGUCUGUAGUCGGAAAAGAAGUCGUAGUCAAUAAAUACUCAAGCUUGUAAAUGCAGAAUAGCUUGAACUUGACGACGAAGAAGAGAAGUCGAUGAGUCGUAAGUCCCGGUAGCGAAACCAGCUCUGCGCGGGCCGGCCACGUCCUGCUGGGCGGACACCUUUUGCAGCGCGAUGAGUUUGGGGCCCGACUACACCGGAGCUUCUCCCAGCGGCAGUCGUAUGACGACGCCUGCGGCUGUUACGUUCGUCGCAAGGGGGAUGCGCUUGAACACAGAUGUUGCUGGUAAUGUCCGACGUUGAUGUCAGGUAUUGCACCAAAGUAAACCAGGCCUUGAUAAAUCCACUGGGUCGUCGUUGGCGGUCAGGAUAUAGUUGUAGGCUUGGGCGCCGAGCCAGGAGGGCUGGGGUCGCGCAAUGCCUGAGAGAGAAUGUGCCGGGGCGGACUGCGGGCAAUGACACGAGCGUGUCAAGCCGAACACAAGUCCAAGCAACGGUACUCUUUGGGCGCUGUCUCACUCAGCUGCCUUCUCCCGUAAUAUGAACACAAACUGGCUGCUGUAGGCCAAGCGUCGGGCUGGCGAUGCAACCGAGAUGGAACCGGAAUCUCAAUAGGCAGUCCGUUGUUCCCAAACAGAGCUCAGAUGUGAGCUGGAGGUCUUGUUGGAGGUCUUGAAUAGCUCAGGGUCUUGACCCAGUGGACUCGGUGACGAUUCGAUGCUCGCAAGCCGGUCUUCACGUUGGGGUCGUCAGGAGAAUCUCAGAGUAGUCUUAAAUAGAAGAUACACCAGAAGGAUAGCUGAAUCCAGAAAGAAGGUCAAAGCCUUGGCAGAGCUGUCGGCAGGUGGCGAUGACCUUGGCCAAGGGGCUCGCGAGGCUCGUUGACGUCGCUCAGGCGCUUGAAGCCGCCGAAUUACGCAGUUGAGAUGCGUAUGAUACCACAGGACCGCGUCGCAGGGGCAGACGGGUCACGAAGAGUCGCGCACGGGGUCGAUGCGACCAGGCGUGCGGAUGCGGAAGCCGGGGCACAGGGGCCCGCUGAAACGGAGGCUCGGGCUGAAGGCCGAUGCCUCAAUCACUGUCGCGCCUUGGCGCUGGAAACUUGCGGACAGGCUCGCUGUCAGGGGAGAAGAGCCCUUGAGGGCUGGGAGACUGUUCUUCCGGUAUGAGCAAGGUUCGUGCUUGUCAAUUACUCGUGGCGUAUUACACAGGAGUGCCGGGUUCCUUUCUUGGCGCUCCGGAGCGGUCCUAUAUUGCCCCGGGCACCUUCCACCAUCGCGAUUGGCGCAGGGGAGCUAGGCCUGGAAGGUGCAGGGGCCAGCUUCCACUCAGGCUUUGCCCUCAUGCAGCGUCCCCAUGCAGCGCCUGGACUACCCCCUGCUUGCGUCGCUAUUUGGAAAUGCGCACCGUAGCUCAAACAACGCCCCAGGGCCACCAGGGGCACGGGGCAAGCUAGGGAAGAGUGUGAGCAUCAAUGCCCAGUCUCCAUCCCUCAACCCGCCCUGUUCUCUAGUCGUCCCUCAAAGUCUAGGCCUGCAAACGCUAUCGCCGCCUAGAAAAGUCACACAAAAGCAAGCGCGCUAGGCUCCCGGACUACGGGCAUGGGCGGCGGCCCAAAGACCGUCGCCGCGGCCAGGGUAGCCGGAGGGCCGAACCGCAUAGAAUGGCUCCGCGUCAACGAGCGCCCAUUGGGGAAACGCUCCUACCGCUUCAACCUAAUCAAUUAUCGUAUUCACACGUCGCCGUAGGACUCGAGCAAUCAAGUCCCCUAUGCAGCGAGCUUCCGCAAAUCCAUGCCCGGACUGUCGUCGACAGACUGCAGCCCAUUCCUCGUUAUGCCAUAUUCUUAUGUACAGAUGUAUGUGCAAAUCACACUCGCGUAGCCCUGUGCCCUUCUGGCCGCGUACUGUCAGGGUCCAGGGCCUAGUUCUACCGAUGCCUACGUCUCCUCCUCGCCGCGUCUACAAACACUGCUCAGACCGGCCAAUACCAUCUCAGUGGUCUCCGUAAGACCAUAUUGUAUCGUGCCCACAUCUCGCCGAGCACUUGGUGGCAGUCCAUGUUCCUGCCCCUUCCGUCACACCAUCGUGUCACGGCCUUUCCUUAUGUCUCUCCCUCCCUUUCCGCCGUCUAGCCAGUUGCCCGAGGCUUACGUGUUAUUGCCUCAUGUAUUCGUUUUGAAAUGCACUCUCAGGUUCAACCGCCGGCACAUACCCUAGUCGUGACCGCGGUGCCUUAAUGCGUGCGUAGCCCCGCGUGCGGACUAAAGUGCCCACAGCGCGCUCGGGCGGACACGCAAUGCAAUAAGCGUCCGGACAGCGCUAUGCGUCGGCACACGCGAAGCAGCUACACGUCGGGUUUCGGGAGCCCAUCCUGGCGGAUUUCGGGAAGCGCCCCACAAGCAGAACUAGGGGCCAAACGCAGCAGUACGAGGCUCAUAUGUGAACGUUAUGACGUAAUAAGCACAAACAAAGCGUGGGAGGGCUAAGUUGCGCGUCCGGGCGUGGAUAUGUCGGGACAUGUCUCCACAUUCAACACAUGCGCACUGACACAGCUGGGCUCUGAAGCGCUGGUGCGCAUGAGUUCACG
rnacentral:lncRNA from 1 species